GUGCCAGCCGCCGCGGUAAUACGUAGGGUGCGAGCGUUAAUCGGAAUUACUGGGCGUAAAGCGUGCGCAGGCGGUUUUGUAAGACAGGCGUGAAAUCCCCGGGCUCAACCUGGGAAUUGCGCUUGUGACUGCAAGGCUAGAGUGUGUCAGAGGGGGGUAGAAUUCCACGUGUAGCAGUGAAAUGCGUAGAGAUGUGGAGGAAUACCGAUGGCGAAGGCAGCCCCCUGGGACAUGACUGACGCUCAUGCACGAAAGCGUGGGGAGCAAACAGGAUUAGAUACCCUGGUAGUCC
rnacentral:rRNA from 1 species